rnacentral:rRNA from 1 species
UACGGAGGAUUCAAGCGUUAUCCGGAUUUAUUGGGUUUAAAGGGUGCGCAGGCGGAUUUUUAAGUCAGCGGUCAAAUCGUGGGGCUCAACCCCAUCCAGCCGUUGAAACUGGGGAUCUAGAGUGUGCGAGAGGUAUGCGGAAUGCGUGGUGUAGCGGUGAAAUGCAUAGAUAUCACGCAGAACCCCGAUUGCGAAGGCAGCAUACCGGUGCACAACUGACGCUCAGGCACGAAAGCGUGGGUAUCGAACAGG